CUCCUCAUGGUGUAGUUGGCUAUCACGUUCGACUGUAAUUGAUGAAAUUGUUUAUCGAAAGGUCACCGGCUCGAUUCCGGUUGAGGAGA
rnacentral:tRNA from 1 species